UACGGGGGGUGCGAGCGUUGUCCGGAAUUACUGGGCGUAAAGCGCACGUAGGCGGCUUUGUAAGUUAGAGGUGAAAGCCCGGGGCUCAACUCCGGAAUUGCCUUUAAGACUGCAUCGCUUGAAUUGUGGAGAGGUAAGUGGAAUUCCGAGUGUAGAGGUGAAAUUCGUAGAUAUUCGGAAGAACACCAGUGGCGAAGGCGACUUACUGGACACAUAUUGACGCUGAGGUGCGAAAGCGUGGGGAGCAAACAGG
rnacentral:rRNA from 1 species